rnacentral:lncRNA from 1 species
GAAAAUCACGUUAAUUCCUCGAUUCCUGAGACUUCACAAGACACAGAACCCCGAUGACAGCCCGAAGUGGAAACAGCCCUAGGUCUCCGGACUCUAGGUCCGCCAAGGCAGAACUCUGCCCUUCCAAGGGCCCCGACUUUGGCGCGCGGCCCCGCCCCGCGAACCCCAACGCGCGGGGUGAAGGGGCGGUCCCCACCGCGCAGACUUAGCGUUCAGGGAUGAGGUUGGGGGGAGGCCAGGCCAUGCCCCAGCCUCCGCCCGCUCGCCGGCCCGCCGGCCUCCCCCUACCUCGGCCUUCCCCGGACUACGCCUGCCUUCCUGCCGCCCACCGCCGCGCCCCGCCGCCGCACCUUGAGGGUUUGGAAGACCGAGGGAAGAGGAUGGCCUUGAGAUGGAAGCCAGCUGGGACUGUAUAGUGAGUUCCAAGCCAGCCUGGGGUACAUGUCUCAGAAAGCAGAUACUACAACACCCAAGAAUAAACAGUAGCCUAUGCGUGUAACUGUAAUCUGUUUUAAUCAAUGUCUCUUGAACACUAGCAAAAAUAGAAGACUUGUC